GGAUUCCUACGGGGCGCAGCAGUGGGGAAUAUUGCACAAUGGGGGGAACCCUGAUGCAGCGACGCCGCGUGGGCGAGGAAGUAUUUCGGUAUGUAAAGCCCUAUCGGCAGGGGAGAAGAAAUGACGGUACCUGAAUAAGAAGCACCGGCUAAAUACGUGCCAGCAGCCGCGGUAAUACGUAUGGUGCAAGCGUUAUCCGGAUUUACUGGGCGUAAAGGGAGCGCAGGCGGCGCGCCAAGUCUGAUGUGAAACACCGGGGCUCAAACCCGGGCAUGCAUUGGAAACUGGCGGGGUGGGGUGCCGGG
rnacentral:rRNA from 1 species